GACGAACGCUGGCGGCGUGCCUAAUACAUGCAAGUAGAACGCUGAAGGAGGAGCUUGCUUCUCUGGAUGAGUUGCGAACGGGUGAGUAACGCGUAGGUAACCUGCCUGGUAGCGGGGGAUAACUAUUGGAAACGAUAGCUAAUACCGCAUAAUAUUGACUAUUGCAUGAUAGUUGAUUAAAAGGUGCAAUUGCACCACUACCAGAUGGACCUGCGUUGUAUUAGCUAGUUGGUGGGGUAACGGCUCACCAAGGCGACGAUACAUAGCCGACCUGAGAGGGUGAUCGGCCACACUGGGACUGAGACACGGCCCAGACUCCUACGGGAGGCAGCAGUAGGGAAUCUUCGGCAAUGGACGGAAGUCUGACCGAGCAACGCCGCGUGAGUGAAGAAGGUUUUCGGAUCGUAAAGCUCUGUUGUAAGAGAAGAACGAGUGUGAGAGUGGAAAGUUCAC
rnacentral:rRNA from 1 species